AUGAGUUGUGGAUAGCGGAGAAAUUCCAAUCGAACUCAGUAAUAGCUGGUUCUCCUCGAAAUAGCUUUAGGGCUAGCUGUAUGUGUUCCUUCUGGGGGUAGAGCACUGGAUGGAAAGUGGGUCCUUCGGGAUACCCUUUCCAAUCAAACUCCGAAUACCAGUAGUUAAGAACAUGCAAGUUAGACUAUGGGGGCUAAGCUUCAUAGUCGAAAGGGAAACAGCCCAGAUCGUCAAUUAAGGUCCCUAAAUCACUGCUAAGUGUUAAAGGUGGUGUUAAUUCUUAUACAACCAGGAAGUUGGCUUAGAAGCAGCCAUCUUUUAAAGAUAGCGUAACAGCUCACUGGUCAAGAGUUUUCGCGCCGAAAAUGUACCGGGGCUAAGCAGUGUACCGAAAUUACGAAUUCAUGAUCUCUUCGGAGCGUCAUGAGUGGUAGAGGAGCAUUCCUAUCUGCGUCGAAGCAGGAUCCGCGAGGGCCUGUGGAGCGAUGGGAAGAGAGAAUGCAGGCACAAGUAGCAAAAAUGCCAGUGAAAGUCUGGCACGCCGAAAACCCAAGGUUUCCAGGGCAACGUGAAUCGUCCCUGGGUUAGUCGAUCCUAAGGCGAGGCCGAAAGGCGUAGUCGAUGGAAGAGCAGGUUAAUAUUCCUGCACUUGGUAUAGUUUGUUGUAUUGCCGCACCUCAAAGGUAUGAGCGUUUUUUGGCUAUAGACGUUCCGCAAGGUAAAGACGAGCUCUCCGGAGUAAGUCAAUUUGUGUUAGAGAGGUGCCUAGAAAAACAGUACAACGCUAGGCUAUAUCAAACCGUACCGCAAACCGACACAGGUGGGUAGGUCGAGAAGACCAAGGUGUACGAGAGAAACAUGGUUAAGGAACUCGGCAAAACAGCGGCCGUAACUUCGGGAUAAGGCCUGCCCUGAGCAAUCAGGGCCGCAGCGAAAGACUACACGCGACUGUUUACCAAAAACACAGCUCUCUGCUAAAUCGUAAGAUGAUGUAUAGGGGGCGAUGCCUGGCCAGUGUCAGAACGUUAAGGGGAUGGGUUAUCCUUCGGGAGAAGCUUUGAACUGAAGCGCUGAUGAACGCCGGCGAUAACUAUAAUCGUCCUAAGGUAGCGAAAUUCCUUGUCGGGUGAGUUCCGACCCGCAUGAAUGGCACAACGAUGUGUAGACUGUCUUAACCAUGUACUCGGCGAAAAUGCAAUUGUCGUGAAGAUGCGACAUUGCCGCAGCAAGACGAAAAGACCCCGUGAAGCUUUACUACAGUUUGAUAUUGGUACAUUGCUUCAUAUGUUCAGCAUAGGUGGGAGCCUUCGGGCACCAGUGAGAUACCACCCUUAUGCUGUGAUGUACCUAAUCUAUUACCAUGAAUCUGGUAAUGGAGACAGUGUCUGAUGGGUAGUUUAACUGGGGCGGUUGCCUCCCAAAAUGUAACGGAGGCGUUUACAAAGGUUGGCUUGGUCCGGAUGGAAAUCGGACUGGACGUGCAAACGCAAAAGCCAGCUUUACUGCAAGGGCUACCACCCGAGCAGUUACGAAAGUAGAAGUUAGUGAUCCGACCGUGCGAUAUAGGACGGCGGAAGCUCAUCGGAUAAAAGUUACUCCGGGGAUAACAGGCUGAUAGCGCCCAAGCGUCCACAGCGACGGCGCUGUUUGGCACCUCGAUGUCGGCUCAUCGCAUCCUGGGGGUGGAGAAGCUCCCAAGGGUUAGGCUGUUCGCCUAUUAAAGCGGUACGCGAGCUGGGUUCAGAACGUCGUGAGACAGUUCGGUCUCCUAUCUGCUGUGGCCGUUGAAUGUUGAAGGAAUUCACUCCUAGUACGAGAGGACCGGGGUGGACGAACCUCUGGUGUACCAGUUGUACCUGCCAAGGGCAUCGCUGGGUAGCUAAGUUCGGUACGGAUAAGCGCUGAAAGCAUCUAAGCGCGAAGCCGUUCCUAAGAUUAACAUUCAUUUGAGACUCGUUCGAGACGAGGACGUUGAUAGGCACUAGGUGUAAGGCCAGUAAUGGCUUGAGCCAAGGUGUACUAAUAUGUCGAGC
rnacentral:rRNA from 1 species